UGCCAGCCGCCGCGGUAAUACGGAGGGGGUUAGCGUUGUUCGGAAUCACUGGGCAUAAAGCGCACGUAGGCGGUCCGCUAAGUCAGAUGUGAAAUCCCUCGGCUCAACCGAGGAACUGCACCUGAUACUGGCGGACUCGAGGACGGUAGGGGUGAGUGGAACUCCAGGUGGAGCGGUGAAAUGCGUAGAUAUCUGGAGGAACACCGGUGGCGAAGGCGACUCACUGGACCGUAUCUGACGCUGAGGUGCGAAAGCGUGGGGAGCAAACAGGAUUAGAUA
rnacentral:rRNA from 1 species